GAUGAAGAACGCAGCGAAAUGCGAUAAGUAGUGUGAAUUGCAGAAUUCAGUGAAUCAUCGAAUCUUUGAACGCACAUUGCGCCGUUUGGUAUUCCUUAGGGCAUGCCUGUUCGAGCGUCAUUUAAACCUUCAAGCUAAGCUUGGUGUUGGGUGACUGUCCGCUUCACUGCGGACUCGCCUCAAAAUUAUUGGCGGCCGGUACAUUGGCUUCGAGCGCAGCAGAAACGCGAACUCGGGCCCGUCGUAUUGGCUCCCAGAAGCUAUCUUCACAAUUUUGACCUCGGAUCAGGUAGGGAUACCCGCUGAACUUAAGCAUAUCAAUAAGCGGAGGA
rnacentral:misc_RNA from 1 species